rnacentral:rRNA from 1 species
GGCGAACGCUGGCGGCGUGCUUAACACAUGCAAGUCGAACGAAGAGCGAUGGAAGCUUGCUUCUAUCAAUCUUAGUGGCGAACGGGUGAGUAACGCGUAAUCAACCUGCCCUUCAGAGGGGGACAACAGUUGGAAACGACUGCUAAUACCGCAUACGAUCUGACCUCGGCAUCGAGGAUAGAUGAAAGGUGGCCUCUACAUGUAAGCUAUCACUGAAGGAGGGGAUUGCGUCUGAUUAGCUAGUUGGAGGGGUAACGGCCCACCAAGGCGAUGAUCAGUAGCCGGUCUGAGAGGAUGAACGGCCACAUUGGGACUGAGACACGGCCCAGACUCCUACGGGAGGCAGCAGUGGGGAAUCUUCCGCAAUGGACGAAAGUCUGACGGAGCAACGCCGCGUGAGUGAUGACGGCCUUCGGGUUGUAAAGCUCUGUUAAUCGGGACGAAAGGCCUUUUUGCGAAUAGUGAGAAGGAUUGACGGUACCGGAAUAGAAAGCCACGGCUAACUACGUG